CGCUUGGAGCUACAAUAAAUAAGAAAACGAAAGAAAAUGUGAGGUUGCAAACGGCGUACCAUGCACCAUGAAGGACUGAGAAUUUGUCCUGGCCAUGUUCCCGGUCACGGUGUGUGUCCCCUGGACAGUGGGCUCAGCGCACUCCCAGGAUCUUAGUUGUCAGCCUGACAGAACACUCAGCAACACAAUAAGGACCAUUGAGUGAUUCUGCAGCUCUGGGUUUGAUUGUGAGCUGGACUCGCCAAACUGUAUUCUCUCACCUAGAGGAGGUCAGUGGUAAUCAACCAAAACACCGCCCAACCACUUUGUGUCUGGAAACACUACAGCAUUCAAUGGACACCACUUAUGCUUCUGUACUACUUGGUUUUGUUGCUGUUGGAUGGCACAUGUGAACCAGUAAACAAAAUCUUAAAGAGAUAAAACAGAUGAGCAUGUUGUCCCUUCAGUGAGCUAGGAAGAGGGGCCCUUGGGCUUCUUUAAUUGGCUCCCAGAGGAGGCUGUUAUUUAUGUAUUCAGUGGUGCUUGGCUUUGGCCCUUCCUGCUCAAUUCCACUUUUUUUGAGCAGGACACUUGGUUUCCCAGGCAACUAAAACUCCAAUC